UACAGAGGUCCCAAGCGUUGUUCGGAUUCACUGGGCGUAAAGGGUGCGUAGGUGGUGAGGUAAGUCGGAUGUGAAAUCUCCGAGCUCAACUCGGAAAUGGCAUUGGAAACUACCUUGCUCGAGGGUUGGAGGGGGACUGGAAUGCUUGGUGUAGCAGUGAAAUGCGUAGAUAAUCAAGCGGAACACCAGUGGCGAAGGCGAGUCCCUGGACAACUCCUGACACUGAGGCACGAAAGCUAGGGGAGCAAACAGG
rnacentral:rRNA from 1 species